UACGUAGGUGGCAAGCGUUGUCCGGAUUUAUUGGGCGUAAAGCGAGCGCAGGCGGUUUCUUAAGUCUGAUGUGAAAGCCCCCGGCUCAACCGGGGAGGGUCAUUGGAAACUGGGAGACUUGAGUGCAGAAGAGGAGAGUGGAAUUCCAUGUGUAGCGGUGAAAUGCGUAGAUAUAUGGAGGAACACCAGUGGCGAAGGCGGCUCUCUGGUCUGUAACUGACGCUGAGGCUCGAAAGCGUGGGGAGCAAACAGGAUUAGA
rnacentral:rRNA from 1 species